rnacentral:lncRNA from 1 species
CUCAGUUCUCCUGAAAUGGGACUUCUGCUCACCUCCAGUGUUAAAGCUGCUUCAUUUAGAAGUUGGAUGCAGCCAUGUGUCUAAGGUCUGGCCAACAAUGAUAAGCAGAAACUUCCGUGGGAUGAUUUUAAAAGAAGAGGGAGUUGACCUUACACGAUUGGAUUGCUGGUUAAGCGGACUCUGUAAGGCUGACACUGGAGCUGGAAGUCCAGAGGACAGGCAGACAGGAAAGGAAGAUGGAUGUAAAGUGGGGGAGAGCAAGAUCAAGUUGGAGCUCCCAAGGACAGACUGAAACCCCUGUCAGUUCCCCUUCCUCAGAUCUUGAGGGUAUGAGUGUCCUGAAAAUCCACGCCCCUUGAGAUGGAGCUAAUCACGCCGGCCUGACCCAGGAGUUGGAAAGAUGGAGG